GCGGACGUGGCGAAACGGUAGACGCAAGGGACUUAAAAUCCCUUAGCCGAAAGGCUGUGAGGGUUCGAGUCCCUCCGUCCGCACCA
rnacentral:tRNA from 1 species